rnacentral:tRNA from 1 species
AGGGAAUUGACCGAGAGGCUUAAGGUGGUAAUCUUGAAAAUUAUUUGGCUUUAACAAGUCACAUCCGUUCAAAUCGGAUAUUCUCUG